CGAUUUUUGGGGUAUUUUGGGGCAAUUUUGGGGAUUAUUUUGGGUCGAUUUUUGGGGUAUUUNNNNNNNNNNNNNNNNNNNNACCUGAGACACACCUGGGGACACCUGGGACACCUGAGACACACCUGGGACACACCUGGGGACACCUGGAACACACCUGGGGACACCUGGGGACACCUGAACAUCACGUGGGGACACCUGGGGACACCUGGGGGGAUAAAAACACACCUGGGACACACCUGGGACACACCUGGGCACACCUGGGGACACCUGGGGACACCUGGGACACACCUGGGGACACACCUGGCGUCACACCUGUGCUCACCUGUCCCCUCCCCCGCAGGUCCCUGGGAGCCGCCGCAGGUGCGGCCGCUUCAGGUGAAGCCCGGGCCCUGCCCCCCCCAAAACAAUUCCCAAAAUUCCUCAAAUCCCGAAAGUUUCUGCCUCGAUCUCAGCCCCGGGAGCCCGGAGUGCCAGGCGGAUUUGGGGUCCCCCCUGGCCUGCCAGGAGCGGGGGCUGGGGCUGAUCUGGGGGGGAUUUGGGGCAUUUUGGGGUGAAUUUUGGGGUCUUUUGGGGUGAAUUUUGGGGUCUUUUGGGUCAUUUUUGGGGUAUUUUGGGGGCUGAUUUUAGGGUGGUUUUGGGGUUGAUUUUGGGGCGAAUUUUGGGGUAUUUGGGGCAUUUUUGGGGUUGAUUUUGGGGCAGUUUUGAGGUGAUUUUUGGGGCAUUUUUGGGGUAUUUUUGGGACAAUUUUUGGGGCAUUUUGGGGCAUUUUUGGGGUUGAUUUUGGGUCGAUUUUUGGGGUAUUUUGGGGUUGAUUUUGGGGCUGUUUUGGGGCGAUUUUUGGGGUGAUUUUGGGGCCUUUUGGGAGUGGAUUUUUGGGCUAUUUUGGGGCAAUUUUGGGGUGGUUUUGGGACAAUUUUUGGGGCAUUUUGGGGCAUUUUUGGGGUUGAUUUUGGGUCGAUUUUUGGGGUAUUUUGGGGUUGAU
rnacentral:lncRNA from 1 species